rnacentral:rRNA from 1 species
AACGAACGCUGGCGGCAGGCUUAACACAUGCAAGUCGAGCGAGACCUUCGGGUCUAGCGGCGGACGGGUGAGUAACGCGUGGGAACGUGCCCUUCUCUACGGAAUAGCCCCGGGAAACUGGGAGUAAUACCGUAUACGCCCUUUGGGGGAAAGAUUUAUCGGAGAAGGAUCGGCCCGCGUUGGAUUAGGUAAUUGGUGGGGUAAUGGCCCACCAAGCCGACGAUCCAUAGCUGGUUUGAGAGGAUGAUCAGCCACACUGGGACUGAGACACGGCCCAGACUCCUACGGGAGGCAGCAGUGGGGAAUCUUAGACAAUGGGGGCAACCCUGAUCUAGCCAUGCCGCGUGAGUGAUGAAGGCCUUAGGGUUGUAAAGCUCUUUC